AUCGAUGCCAGGCGUGCAGCUUCCUCCUCAACCUGUAGAGGGACAGAGAUAGGGGCCAAUAGCAGUCAGUAUGGAUUUUAACUAACAGCCUUUUAUCCUGCUUUGCAUGAUGACAUCCUCUGGCUGUAAUUGGAGGUGAAGAGAAACAGGGCAGCCAUCUUGGAUUUCUCAUCUUUGUCUGACAAGAUCCUCUGACUACAGCAUUUCACUUGCCACGGAAAACAUUCCAGGGAACUUUGUAGAGUUCACUUCUAUCGACUAUAGGGUGACACAGGUGUUCUUUUGGCUCUCUGACCAUGGUGGAUCUCAGCCUGUCUACUACUUCUAUUUAUUUUGAACAAAGGGCUUUAAGUAAAUCAAAAUAUACAAUUUCCUUUAUAAUUGAUGUGAUUUUUUUCCUUUCUAAAAAAGUAUACAUUUUUUAAUGAUAAGAAGGAAAGUACAAAGGCCUAAUGUGCACCCCAAAUUGGAUUUGUGUACAAUGAAUGAACUGAUUUAGUUGAAAGACUCUCUGGUUUGUGGUCCGUACUUACUCUUCAUAAUUCUUUGAGAGGCAGACAUAUCCCCACCUUGACAGAGCAGCAGUGAGGACAGACCAUGGCAGGCAAAAACAGAGGAAAACAAACAAAAAGAGAGGAAAACAGGUGGAGAUGGAGCCGAUGAAAGAAAACAGUAAUACAAUAAACAGAAAUGUACAUUAAGGGG